AUUCCUUUCCCCUUGGGAAGUUUCAACCCCCAAGCCACUAUAAAUUCCGGCUCCCACGCAUCGUGCGUUGUAUCUCACACUACUAGCUAGAUCUCACUUGCACCACUCGCAAUUAGUGUUUUCGCAUCAGGACGACAUGGAGGCGUCAGCUGCUGAUCAUCACGGUGGCCACCACCACCAGACGACGAAGAAGAUCAUCAGCCAGGGCUCCGACGGCAUCGGCGGCGGCGGCGGCGGUAAGUCGAGGGUGGACCUGUACGCCGGCGCGGUGGCGCAGCGGGCGCUGUACGGGCCGACGACGACGAGCCGGUGCCGCGGCGCGGCGAGGCAGAGGCAGCAGGCGGUGGCCGGCGGCAAGGACUCCAAGCAGCCCAGCAGGCUGAGCAAGAUGUCCGGGGCGGAGGGCACCUGAUGAUGAAGUAUCUGUCGCGUGUGGUGUUGCAGCGCUUUGCAGAUUGCAGAUUUGCAGUAUGUACUAUGUAUAUUGGUUGUAGUAGCUAGAAGUGACGAUCGCGACCGUCCUUGGUUACAUUUUCGUGUGGCGCUGGGACGAGCUUAACUGGUGCUAGCUGUGUGAUCCUUGUGCAUAUACAGUACAUGUGAUGCUGUUGGAACAAAUAAAUUGAGCUAGUUGGAUA